UUUAGAUAUGGUGAUAUGGUACCGUCAACAAUAAUGGGAAAGGUGGUGGGAGGAAUUUGCUCCCUUUCUGGCGUUCUUGUAAUUGCGCUGCCAGUUCCUGUCAUUGUCUCGAAU
rfam:Hymenolepis diminuta genome assembly, scaffold: HDID_scaffold0000048